GUACUGCUGAAGAGUCCGAAACCGGAACGAAACAGCUGUCCAGUAC
rnacentral:hammerhead_ribozyme from 1 species